GGCGGGAAAAAGCUGAACGAUGUAAUUCCAUCCCCAGGCUGAAACACAUUAGCGCGUUUGGCAAGUGCUCUAUCAGAGGGCCAUUAGACUGAGGCUCGUGCAUGAGGGGAUAGCAUGCUUUUACUUUCACUCUCUUUGUAAUAAAAAAUGAUUUCCCGGUCGGAAUAUUAUCGCUUUUUUACGAGAAAAAUUGCAUAAAAAUUGAUUUUAAACAGCGGUUGACAUGCUUCGAAGUACGGUAAUGGAAUAUUUAGAAUGUUUUUUGUCACGAAACGUGUCGGGCGCGUCACCCUUCUUUACCCUUUCGGAUAGUUUCUUGAACACACAAACAAAACAGAGGAUAUUUGAACAUAACUAUGGAUUAUUUUGAACCAAACCAACAUUUGUUAUUGAAGUAGAAGUCCUGGGAGUGCAUUCUGACGAAGAACAGCAAAGGACCAUGCCUCAGGACUACCUAACAUGAUGACUCCUUGCUGUCCCCAGUCCACCUGGCCAUGCUGCUGCUCCAGUUUCAACUGUUCUGCCUGCGGCUAUGGAACCCUGACCUGUUCACCGGACGUGCUACCUGUCCCAGACCUGCUGUUUUCAACUCUCUAGAGACAGCAGGAGCGGUAGAGAUAUUCUCAAUGAUCGGCUAUGAAAAGCCAACUGACAUUUACUCUUGAGGUGCUGACUUGUUGCACCCUCGGCAACAACUGUGAUUAUUAUUUGACCAUGCUGGUCAUUUAUGAACAUUUGAACAUCUUGGCCAUGUUCUUUUAUAAUCUCCACCCAGCACAGCCAGAAGAGGACUGGCCACCCCUCAUAGCCUGGUUCCUCUCUAGGUUUCGGCCUUUCUAGGGAGUUUUUCCUAGCCACCGUGCUUCUACAUCUGCAUUGCUUGCUGUUUGGGGUUUUAGGCUGGGUUUCUGUACAGCACUUUGAGAUAUCAGCUGAUGUAAGAAGGGCUAUAUAAAUACAUAUCAUUUGAUGUUGUAGCCUAAUUUGGAAAACAAUUGUUUCCCUAAAAAAACGUGAUCAAUAGGGAAGAGUUUUCAAACUGUGUGCACUGGGACUGAGAGCAUAGCCUCGGGAGCACACACAGUGUAGGCUGGCUUUUGUCCUGAAUACAAAUUGUUAUGUUUCGGGAAAAUCCAAUACAGCACAUUACUGAGUACCACUCUCCAUAUUUUCAAGCAUAGCGGUGGAUGCACAUGUUAUGGGUAUGCUUAUAAUUGUUAAGGACUGGGGAGUUUUUCAGGAUACAAAAUACACGGAAUGGAGCUAAGCACAGGCAAAAUCCUAGAGGAAAACCUGGUUCAGUCUGCAUUCCUUUCAGCAGGACAAUAACCUAAAACACAAGGCCAAAUCUACACUGGAGUUGCUUACCAAGAAGACAGUGAAUGUUCCUGAAUUGCCGAGUUACAGUUUUGACUUAAAUCUUCUUGAAAAUCUAUGGCAAGACCUGAAAAUGGUUGUCUAGCUAUGAUCAACAACCAAUUUGACAGAGCUUGAAGAAUUAUUUAAAGAAUAAUAGGCAAAUGUUGCACAAUCCAGGUGUGGAAAGCUCUUAGAGACUUACCCAGAAGACAUAGCUGUAAUCGCUGCCAAAGGUGCUUCUACAAAGUAUUGACUCAGGAGUGUGAAUACUUAUGUCAACUCAAUAUUUCAUUUUCAAUAAAUGUGCAAAAGUUUUCAUUUUGUCAUUAUGGGUUAUUGUGUGUAGAUUGGUGAGAACAAACUAUACAGUAGCAGUCAAAAGUUUGGACACACAUUGUCACGUUCGUCGUAAAGAUGGGACCAAGGCGCAGCGGGAAUGUGAAUACUCAUCUUCUUUAUUACGAAGAAAAACAAACACUUAAUCAAAAACAACAAUGAAAAACCAGUCCUGUGAGGCACACAGCUACACACAGAACAACUACCCACAAAUCCCAUGGACAAAACACCCCUAUUAAAUAGGAUCUUCAAUUAGAGGCAACGAGAAACAGCUGGUCAAACCAAUAAACUAAGCAUAGAAAUAGACUAACUAGACACAGACAUAGAAAAAGACUAACAUAGAAUAUUGCCCAACAAACCCCGAAACACACUAAACAAACACCCGCUGCCAAGCCCUGACCAAACUACAAUAACAAAGAACCCCUUUUACUGGUCAGGACGUGACACACCUACUCAUUCAAGAUGUAUUUUUUGUACAAUACUACAUUCUCGAAUAAUAGUGAAGACAUCACAACUAUGAAAUAACACAUAUGGAAUCAUGUACUAACCAAAAAAGUGUUAUCAAAAUAAAACAAAUCAAAAUAUAUGUUAUAUUUGAGAUUUUUCAAAGAAACCACCCUUUGUCUUGAUGACAGCUUUGUGGAAUUUAUUUCCUUCUAAAAAUGCAUUUGAGCCAAUCAGUGUGUUGUGACAAGGUAGGGGUGGUAUACAGAAGAUAGACCUAUUUGGUAAAAGACCGAGUCCAUAUUAUGGCAAAAACAGCUCAAAUAAGCAAAGAUAAAUGACAGUCCAUCAUUACUUUAAGACAUGAAGGUCAGUCAAUCUGGAAUAUUUCAAUAACUUUUAAAGUUUCUUCAAGUGCAGCUGCAAAAAACAUCAAGUGCUAUGAUGAAACAGGCUCUCAUGAGGACCGACAGAUGAAAGGAAGACCCA
rnacentral:lncRNA from 1 species